rnacentral:rRNA from 1 species
GGCCAGCAGCCGCGGUAAUACGUAGGGGGCAAGCGUUGUCCGGAAUUAUUGGGCGUAAAGCGCGCGCAGGCGGCUAUUUAAGUCUGGUGUUUAAACCUUGGGCUCAACCUGAGGUCGCACUGGAAACUGGGUGGCUUGAGUACAGAAGAGGAAAGUGGAAUUCCACGUGUAGCGGUGAAAUGCGUAGAUAUGUGGAGGAACACCAGUGGCGAAGGCGACUUUCUGGGCUGUAACUGACGCUGAGGCGCGAAAGCGUGGGGAGCAAACAGGAUUAGAUACCCUGGUAGUCCACGCCGUAAACGAUGAGUGCUAGGUGUUAGGGGUUUCGAUACCCUUGGUGCCGAAGUUAACACAGUAAGCACUCCGCCUGGGGAGUACGGUCGCAAGACUGAAACUCAAAGGAAUUGACGGGGGCCCGCACAAGU